rnacentral:rRNA from 1 species
UAGAGUUUGAUCCUGGCUCAGAACGAACGCUGACGGCGUGCCUAACACAUGCAAGUCGAACGAGAAAGUCCCGGCUUGCCGGGAUGAGUAAAGUGGCGCACGGGUGAGUAACGCGUGGGUAAUCUGCCUUUAAGUUUGGGAUAACACUGCGAAAGCGGUGCUAAUACCGGAUAUGCUCACAGUUUGAAAUGUCUGUGAGAAAAGAUGGCCUCUGACAUAAGCUAUCGCUUAAAG